UGUUUUGCUGGACAUAAAUCCAAAAACACCAGCCCUCAGAAAGAUAAGUUGAGGGACUGAACUGAAGUGCUGAGGUACCACACACUGCCUUGGAGGUACAAAGCCAUGUGUAGAGGAGCAGUUGGAGAAGGCGAGAUGGUUGUGGGCCAGGUGCCCUUCAUUGAUGAGUCCUGCAGUGCCUAAUUCUGUGAUGAGCAG